ensembl:lncRNA
AUGAGGAAACUGAGGCCCUGAGAAGAUAUGUAGACCCAAGGUCACACAGUAGCAGGUGGCAAGAUUUAAAGCCUGGUGGUUUGGCAGCAAGUCCAUGCAGCUAUCUUUCCAGGCACCAGCUGAAAUGAAGACAAAGACAACAUGAGUCAAUCAAAGAAGAUCUGGACAACGGUUUCCAGGCCCGGUCACUUCAAGAGUGUGCAGCUCCUGGCCACAGACAAGCAACUGCAUCUUGGCGACUGGAGAACAGAGAAUAAUGAGUUCUACCUAGAUCUUACCUGGGACACUGUCUCGCAAGGCCGCCGUAACCGUGGAAACGGAAUCCAAUGGCUGCAAAGCCAGAGCACGAACACACCCGCCACUAGGGGCGCAUUGCAUCACUGCCUCAUGCCUUCCACUGAGGCCACACCCCCAUCCUCUUCACCACGCCCCCUGCGAUCCACGCAGGCGCAGGCAUCGUCCUGGGCGCCCCACAGCUUUUGGAGGGCGUGCCCAAGAUGGCGUCCUCAGUUCUCGGUCCGGCCUUGACGAGCUGGAAAAGUGGCACCCUGCCGGGCUGUGGAACUGUCGCAGAUGAUGGGAUCUUAACCACUGGACCACCAGGGAAGUCCCCAAGUUAAUGUAUUUAUAAAAUAUUCAGAACAGUGUUUGGCACAGAAUAGAUAAAUAGCCUCUUGAAUUAGACCUGUAAUUCAAAUGUUUGUUUCAGAAUUCUUCAAAUGCAUCUCCUUACUCGAGUCCCACAGGUCAGAGGAGCAGACACAUCAGAGCCCAACCCUUUUUCCAACCUAGUUUGUAGCCCACUAGUCUCCCAGACUCCCGGCAAAUUGAACCCAGUGCUUUUCUACCUCCAGGCCCCUGCCGCCUUACUUCCUACUUGGAAUGCUCUUCUUUCACCUGUUGAGUUUCUUCCCAUCCUUGGAGGCCAGUGGCUGAGAGAAAGGUGGUUGUUUCUUUGCUUCAGACAGACCCAAGGCCUGCCUAAUCAUGCUGUCGUGGUGUGAUCUGUGGUUGAGGGCCAGUUUGUGGCGCUCCUGCUGCCCCCAGCAGCCUCCCACAGCAGCUCUAGAUGAGAGGGAGAGACAUUCGGCCAGUGGGUGGGUCAGACUUCUUGGUCUCUGCCUUUUCAGGGAUAGGGGAUUAGGAACCUAGAAGGCUAGACUGCUUUCUGGAG